UACGUAGGGUGCAAGCGUUAAUCGGAAUUACUGGGCGUAAAGCGUGCGCAGGCGGCUUUGCAAGACAGAUGUGAAAUCCCCGGGCUUAACCUGGGAACUGCAUUUGUGACUGCAUGGCUGGAGUGCGGCAGAGGGGGAUGGAAUUCCGCGUGUAGCAGUGAAAUGCGUAGAUAUGCGGAGGAACACCGAUGGCGAAGGCAAUCCCCUGGACCUGUACUGACGCUCAUGCACGAAAGCGUGGGGGAGCAAACAGG
rnacentral:rRNA from 1 species